GACGGAGGAUGCAAGCGUUAUCCGGAAUGAUUGGGCGUAAAGCGUCUGCAGGUGGCAGUUCAAGUCUGCUGUCAAAGACCGGGGCUUAACUUCGGAAAGGCAGUGGAAACUGAACAGCUAGAGUAUGGUAGGGGCAGAGGGAAUUCCUGGUGUAGCGGUGAAAUGCGUAGAGAUCAGGAAGAACAUCGGUGGCGAAGGCGCUCUGCUGGACCAUAACUGACGCUCAGGGACGAAAGCUAGGGGAGCGAAUGGG
rnacentral:rRNA from 1 species